UACGUAGGGUGCAAGCGUUAAUCGGAAUUACUGGGCGUAAAGCGUGCGCAGGCGGUUGUGUAAGUCAGAUGUGAAAUCCCCGGGCUCAACCUGGGAAUUGCAUUUGAGACUGCACGGCUAGAGUGUGUCAGAGGGGGGUAGAAUUCCACGUGUAGCAGUGAAAUGCGUAGAGGUGUGGAGGAAUACCGAUGGCGAAGGCAGCCCCCUGGGAUAACACUGACGCUCAUGCACGAAAGCGUGGGGAGCAAACAGG
rnacentral:rRNA from 1 species